UUGACGGUACCCUACUAGAAAGGAGCCGCUAACUUCGUGCCAGAAGCGUCGGUAAUACGGGGGCUCCAAGCGUUAUCCGGUGUUAUUGGGCGUAAAGAGUCGUGUAGGUGGUUGGGUAAGUUAUCUUUCAAAUAUCUUUGCUUAACAAAGAGGAGGGGGAUGAUACUGCUCGACUAGAAUUUUCUCAAGGGAGAUCGGAACUGAGGGAGGAGUAGUGAAAUGCGUUGAUACCCUCGGGAACACCAGUGGCGUAGGCGGAUCUCUGGGAGAAGAUUGACACUGAGACACGAAAGCUAGGGGAGCGAAGCAGAUUAGAGACCUGCGUAGUCCUAGCCGUAAACGCAUGCUUGCUAGCUGCAUGAAUCUACCUUCGGGUGGUAUCGUGUGGCGAAGGUAACCCGUUAAGCAAGCCGCCUGGAAAGUACGGCCGCAAGGCUGAAAUUCAAAGGAAUUGGCGGGGAGGCACACAACCAGUGGAACAUGUGGUUUAAUUCGAGACUAACCGAAGAACCUCACCAGGGUUUGACAUGUAGCUGCACGUCUUAAGAAAUUAAGACUCUCUUGAAGGUGCUACACAGGUGCUGCAUGGCUGUCGUCAGCUCGUUCCGUGAGGAGUGCCCUUAAGUGGGACAACGAGCGCAACCCCUAUUACAUGUUAGAAAUGUCAUGUAAGACUGCCUUGCCAUUUGGCGGGGAGGAAGGAGGGGCAGACGUCAAGUCCGCAUGGUCCUUAUGCCCUGGGCUACACACAUGUUACAAUGAGUACGGCAAUGAGUCUGUCGCGAGCACGUAAGUGUAAGCUAAUCUCUUAAAUGUACUCUCAGUGGGGAUUGAGGUCUGCAACUCGACCUCAUGAACACGGAAUUGGUAGUAAUCGCGGGUCAGCUAUACCGCGGUGAUACGUUCUUGCCUCUUGCACACACCGCCCGUCAAACCAGCAAAGU
rnacentral:rRNA from 1 species